rnacentral:rRNA from 1 species
CGCAGCCGCGGUAAUUCCAGCUCCAAUAGCGUAUAUUAAAGUUGUUGCAGUUAAAAAGCUCGUAGUUGAAUUUCGGGAUCAAAUUGUCGGUCGUGCCUCGGUACGCACUGGUAUUAUUGGUUCCUACCUUCUGAAGAACCGCGAUGUCAUUAAUUUGGUGUCGUGGGGAAUCAGGACUGUUACUUUGAAAAAUUGAAGUGUUUGAAGCAGGCUUACGCUUGAAUACAUUAGCAUGGAAUAAUGAAAUAGGACGUUUGAUUCUAUUUUGUUGGUUUCUAGGAUUGACGUAAUGAUUAAUAGGGAUAGUUGGGGGCAUUAGUAUUCAAUUGUCAGAGGUGAAAUUCUUGGAUUUAUUGAAGGCUAACUACUGCGAAAGCAUUUGCCAAGGAUGUUUUCAUUAAUCAAGAACGAAAGUUAGGGGAAUCGAAGACGAGUCAGAUACCGUCGUAGUCUUAACCAUAAACUAAUGACCGGCUAGGGAUCGGAUGAUGUUAAUUUUUAAUGUACUCAUUCGGCG